rnacentral:ncRNA from 1 species
AGAUAAUACUGGCAAACUUAUCGAAAGAUAAGGACGCAAAGCCAUGGGUCUAAAGAUAUCUCUACGAUCGCCAGGUUGCAACA